rnacentral:rRNA from 1 species
GAUGAACGCUGGCGGCGUGCCUAAUACAUGCAAGUCGAGCGAACGGACGAGAAGCUUGCUUCUCUGAUGUUAGCGGCGGACGGGUGAGUAACACGUGGAUAACCUACCUAUAAGACUGGGAUAACUUCGGGAAACCGUAGCUAAUACCGGAUAAUAUUUUGAACCGCAUGGUUCAAAAGUGAAAGACGGUCUUGCUGUCACUUAUAGAUGGAUCCGCGCUGCAUUAGCUAGUUGGUAAGGUAACGGCUUACCAAGGCAACGAUGCUUAGCCGACCUGAGAGGGUGAUCGGCCACACUGGAACUGAGACACGGUCCAGACUCCUACGGGAGGCAGCAGUAGGGAAUCUUCCGCAAUGGGCGAAAGCCUGACGGAGCAACGCCGCGUGAGUGAUGAAGGUCUUCGGAUCGUAAAACUCUGUUAUUAGGGAAGAACAUAUGUGUAAGUAACUGUGCACAUCUUGACGGUACCUAAUCAGAAAGCCACGGCUAACUACGUG